rnacentral:sRNA from 1 species
GAUGCUUAUAAAAAGCGCUUCUUUCACAAUGUAACACGGAACGCCCCUGAUUGGUCAGUUAAAAUUAAUUCUCUUUUUACGAGGUCAUGUCUCCGUAUAAAAGUCUAAAUUCUUUUCCUUGGCGUGUUUUGUAUUAAAAUGGCGUCUCUACCACAUCGACUUGUUCUCUUGGUUUCCAUGGCGACGUUGAUACGUUCAAGUACAUGGUUAAAUUUUACAGGGAAUUCAGAAACAAUCAGAGAACUGAUCCAGCCCCUAAAAUUAACAUGCUCUUUUCAGGUUU